GACGAACGCUGGCGGCGUGCUUAACACAUGCAAGUCGAACGGUAAGGCUCCAGCUUGCUGGGGUACACGAGUGGCGAACGGGUGAGUAACACGUGGGUGACCUGCCCUGCACUUCGGGAUAAGCCUGGGAAACUGGGUCUAAUACCGGAUAGGACUGCACCGUGAGGGCGUGGUGGAAAGUUUUUUCGGUGUGGGAUGGGCCCGCGGCCUAUCAGCUUGUUGGUGGGGUAAUGGCCUACCAAGGCGGCGACGGGUAGCCGGCCUGAGAGGGUGGACGGCCACACUGGAACUGAGACACGGUCCAGACUCCUACGGGAGGCAGCAGUAGGGAAUCUUCCGCAAUGGGCGAAAGCCUGACGGAGCAACGCCGCGUGAGUGAUGAAGGUCUUCGGAUCGUAAAACUCUGUUAUUAGGGAAGAACAUAUGUGUAAGUAACUGUGCACAUCUUGACGGUACCUAAUCAGAAAGCCACGGCUAACUACGUGCCAGCAGCCGCGGUAAUACGUAGGUGGCAAGCGUUAUCCGGAAUUAUUGGGCGUAAAGCGCGCGUAGGCGGUUUUUUAAGUCUGAUGUGAAAGCCCACGGCUCAACCGUGGAGGGUCAUUGGAAACUGGAAAACUUGAGUGCAGAAGAGGAAAGUGGAAUUCCAUGUGUAGCGGUGAAAUGCGCAGAGAUAUGGAGGAACACCAGUGGCGAAGGCGACUUUCUGGUCUGUAACUGACGCUGAUGUGCGAAAGCGUGGGGAUCAAACAGGAUUAGAUACCCUGGUAGUCCACGCCGUAAACGAUGAGUGCUAAGUGUUAGGGGGUUUCCGCCCCUUAGUGCUGCAGCUAACGCAUUAAGCAUUCCGCCUGGGGAGUACGACCGCAAGGUUGAAACUCAAAGGAAUUGACGGGGACCCGCACAAGCGGUGGAGCAUGUGGUUUAAUUCGAAGCAACGCGAAGAACCUUACCAAAUCUUGACAUCCUUUGACAACUCUAGAGAUAGAGCUUUCCUCUUCGGGGGACAAAGUGACAGGUGGUGCAUGGUUGUCGUCAGCUCGUGUCGUGAGAUGUUGGGUUAAGUCCCGCAACGAGCGCAACCCUUAAGCUUAGUUGCCAUCAUUAAGUUGGGCACUCUAAGUUGACUGCCGGUGACAAACCGGAGGAAGGUGGGGAUGACGUCAAAUCAUCAUGCCCCUUAUGAUUUGGGCUACACACGUGCUACAAUGGACAAUACAAAGGGCAGCGAAACCGCGAGGUCAAGCAAAUCCCAUAAAGUUGUUCUCAGUUCGGAUUGUAGUCUGCAACUCGACUACAUGAAGCUGGAAUCGCUAGUAAUCGUAGAUCAGCAUGCUACGGUGAAUACGUUCCCGGGUCU
rnacentral:rRNA from 1 species